GUGUUUCAAAAAUGCUGGACAUAAUUUAAUUUUAAACAAUAUUUUUUUAAUGAUAUUUUUUUGAAAUUUUGACAUAACGUUGUAUUCGUAUACGCGAGUUUUCUUAUGGGGUCAGUUUUUGGUUAUACCGGUUGUUUAAAAAAUGAGGGUCAUAAUUUAAUUUUAAACAACAUUUUUUAAAUGAUAUUUUUUUGUAAUUUUGACACAACGUUGUAUUCGUAAGCGGCAGUGUUUUUAUGGGAUCUGAUUUUGGAAAUACCGUGUGUUACAAAAAUGAUGGCCAUAAGAUUAUUUUGUUAAUUUUAAACAAUAUUUUUAAAAUAUUUUUUUGUAAUUUUGACACAAUGUUGUAUUCAUAACCGGGAGUGUUUUUAUGGUGUCUGAUUUAUGAAAUACCGUGUGUUUAAAAAAUGAUGGUCAUAAUUAAAUUUUUUAAAUUUAAAACAAUAUUUUUAAAAUUAUAUUUUUUGGAAAUUUUGAAACAACGUUGUAUUCGUAAUCGGAAGUGUUUUUAUGUGGUUUAGUUUUGGAAAUACGUGUGUUUCAAAAAUGAUGGUCAUAAUUCAAUUUUGUUAAUUUUAAACAAUAUUUUUUAAAUGAUAUUUAAAGAGAGUGUGUGAGUGUGUGUGUUUUAAUUAAAUAUGAGAGUGAGAGAGAGAGAGAGAGAGAGAGAGAGAGAGAGAGAGAGAGAGAGAUUGAUUGAUUGAUCUUUUAUUAGCUUUCUCAGCUAUUUUCAAUACAUAUGUUCGGAAUCGCCUGGAAUGUUUCUCGUUUCUUUGGGACGCUCAGAGAGUGAUAUGCGGCUGGAUCAUAUUCGUGGCCACGCGAGAGACGGGUGAUCGCGAAUGCGUGUUUAAGAGAUGUACGGAGGUAAACCCAGCACGUCCGGGCGACGCGAAGACGCGUGAGCGCGGGCUGUAAGCAGCCAGUCUGUCUCCGAUCGACUUACAGGCACGUUGCAAUCUUCGAUUAUUAGUUCACGUGAACUUACAAUCAAAAUUACUUUUCGGACGAGCACUUGCUCUCGGUCGCGACAGUGCGCAACGACGUCGUUGCACACUUACGCAACGUCAUUUCUUCUGUUGUUUUGUGUAAAUUUGAAGUUGCGAUAUCAUGCCACGGUCUCGCCGAGGGGGAAGGAAGCGGCAGAUCAAGCGGUUAAAAUGGCGUCUCAUCGAGGCUGGAACGUUCGAUCCACGCAUCUUCGAUCGACCUCCGCCCCCCGACGCCUCCCCGAGACGCCACGGAUCACCGGGGCCGUUUGAGCUGCCACCUCCACAGCCUACCCCCUGCACCCGACUAGGCACCGCCCUGCCAUAUCGCACCACCACCAAACCCCGCUCCCUUCAGGCGCCCGCCGCCCCGGCUAUCCCCGGGGACCGACACCGCCUCUAUACGAGCUCCCACACGUCCCGCAAAGGUGGACCGCCAAGCCCGUCCACCCCUGCGGCAAGGCCCCCGCAUAACUAGCAACGAGGCCUUCGUCGGGUCGCUCCCGAAAUUUGCCUUAUCCGGCAAGGCGACCCCUCGAUCCAUAGAAGUUUAUCAGAGGCUUCUCAAGCCCCUCGAAGGAGCACCACCUCUUAAACGAGGAAAACAAGCGGGAGAACAGUAAUAAAAAUAAUAAAAGAAAAUAUAUAUAUAUUCUAUAACCGGAUCCAAUUUUUUUCUUUUUACCCACAAACUCACAAACAGUUACGCUCCUGGGGAACCACUUACGCUCGGCCCCGGUCACUUCCCCCCUCCCCCAGGACGUAACAGUACUAUAAAACUUUGCUUUAGCGAUGUGAUUGAAUCUUUCUUUACAACAGUACCUUGAACUAAAUAAAAACCGUAAAAUAUGCGAUUUUUUAUGUAAUAUUUGAACGCGAUUUGUUGUUAGAAAAAGUAAAUCUGUGAAAAAAUUGAUAACAGCAUUCAAAAGUGCAAACUUUCAGCUUUCCAGCGUUUUUUUGCUGAGCGCUGUACGUUGAUUUGUUCACGAGUAACAAGCGAUGAAAGUCAAAAUGACCAUUUUUUAUUAAAAUCUCAAUUACUCGGUUAAAAAAAAAUUGUACAGCAAUAAACAACUACUCAAAUUAAAGGGAAAAGUUUCCGCUCUAAGAUGCAAGUAACAAAAAUACUCUAUGAUUUUUUUUACGCAAGAUGCAGCGCAGCAAAUUCGCAUAAAAAAUUUUUAUUUUAACGGGUCAAGCUUUAUUAUUGU